rnacentral:rRNA from 1 species
UACGUAGGGUGCGAGCGUUAAUCGGAAUUACUGGGCGUAAAGCGUGCGCAGGCGGCGCGUUAAGACAGGUGUGAAAGCCCCGAGCUUAACUUGGGAAUUGCGCUUGUGACUGGCGUGCUGGAGUGUGGCAGAGGGAGGUGGAAUUCCACGUGUAGCAGUGAAAUGCGUAGAGAUGAUGGAGGAACACCGAUGGCGAAGGCAGCCUCC